AUUGAACGCUGGCGGCAGGCCUAACACAUGCAAGUCGAGCGGAUGAAGGGUGCUUGCUCCUGGAUUCAGCGGCGGACGGGUGUGUAAUUCCUAUGAAUCUGCCUUGUCGUCUGGGAUAACGUCCUGCAACGGGCGCUAAUACCGCAUACGUCCUGCGCUCGUACGUGGGGGAUCUUCGGACCUCACGCUAUCAGAUGAGCCUAGGUCGGAUUGGCUAGUUGGUGGGGUAAAGGCCUACCAAGGCGACGAUCCGUAACUGGUCUGAGAGGAUGAUCAGUCACAAGGGAAGUGAGACACGGGCCAGAGGACUACGGGAGGGAGCAGGGGGGAAUAGUGGACAAUGGGCGAAAGCCUGAUCCAGCCAAGGCGAGUGAGAGAAGAAGGUAUUCGGAUUGUAAAGAAGUUUAAGUGGGGAGGAAGGGAAGUAAGUUAAAACCUUGCGGGAGUGACGGUACCAAAAGAAGAAGCACCGGCUAACUUCGUG
rnacentral:rRNA from 1 species